UUCAAUUUUCUCCUAUUUAUAAGUGUGUUUUUAAGCUGAGAAUCUGCACAAAAUUUCGUUAAGCUUGCAUAAUGACAAUAAAGACUCUUGAAUCUUAAUGAUUACAUUCGGAUUAAAGAACAUAUUAUCUACAGUAUUUCAGGAUAGACUAAUAGAUUAUUUAAACAUAUGUAUAGUACAGGUCAUGUUUUCAGGGUUUUACUUGUUUGUCCAAGUAUCAGCACCAAAAGAAGUAUGCAAGGACAUGAUUGGACAUUUUCCUGUAAAAAAUAAUAGAGGACAGUACAGACACAAUGCUAAAGGCUACACCUACAUGCUUUGCAGAAAGUGCAAUGGUCCAGCUCUGCUUCUCAGAGAAAUAGAACUGCUUUUGGGAGUAUCAUAAUUUAGUUAGAGUUUUCAUUCAGUUUUCCAGGAUUUGUAAAAAAAAUAUCUGAUUUCAGUAAAUAUAAUUCUAAAAUAAAUAAUAAAUAACUCAAUGUUUUUAUGAAAAAUAUCAUUCAUAAAAAUAUUACUUGUGUGAUUAUCAUUUUGGUGUGAUUAUGAGUUUAGACAACAUCUAAAAGGUAAAAAAAAUGUUUACAAUUUUCUUCUAUAUGUGGGUCUUUGGGGGUGAAUAGUAAAGGUUAUUAGAUACUGCCAUUACAAUUUAAAUCAAUUUCUGAUAUGUAAUUAUGAUGCAUUACCAAAAAACAUAGCAAUAAGUCAAGUCUUGCACGUUUAAAUUAGUACUUACACGUGGAGAAAACACUGGGUCUCAUUGCUUAAUAAAUAGUUUUAAUUUUUAUGCCGUGGAUAGAUUGGUGGGGGAGGGGCACACAUGGGUGGGCUUGAUACACGUUAAGUGACAUGACUGGCGGUCGGAGUCAUCUGUAAUGCACCUUUACCACAUUUCCUGGAUGUACUGAUGAUACAGAACAAGCGCUCUUUGACAUGACAGCUGAAGGAGCAGACGGGCACAGCGUGCAGGUCAAGUGGCAGAGUGGACUCAAACAGGUAUGUGAUGGCUUCCCUUAGAGGAUGCAGUGGAACAUGUUGUGAAAGCACUGGACAAGACUGCAGAACUGGAAGUAAAAUACAUCAACUCCAAUAAAGGUCGAGGGGUGUUUGCCAAAUCCCAUUUCUCAAAAGGAGACUUUGUGGUGGAGUACAGAGGGACGUUGAUAAAUUUGGAAGAGUCAAUAAAGAGGAAGAGGACCUAUCACAGCUCAUGUGCUGUUUUCAUGUUUGACUUCUACUGGAAAGAAAAGACAUGGUGCAUUGAUGCAGCCCAAGAAGAUGGCAGCCUUGGAUGCCUUGUCAAUGAUGACCACAGGCACCCAAACUGCAAAAUGAAGAGGGUCAUUACGGAGGCCAAAUCAUACCUCUGCCUAUUUGCUUUGAGGGACAUACAGCCAGGAGAAGAAAUUACAUAUGACUAUGGUGGAAAUGAUUGGCCAUGGAGGAAACAGACAGAAGAACAGCCUUGUGUGGCCGAGUCCUCUCACUCUCAGGUCUCCACACCAGCAGAGAAGGUUGCUGAGACACCUCCAUCCACCAUCACACAGAACAAGGAUGAAUCAGGACCGAUUCUUUCAUCAAACAAAGCUGGAGUCGAUCGUCACCUUGUAAGCUACACGGAUUCUGAUGAGUCUCUGUGUCCAUGCACCAGUUCCUCCCAGCUAAAUGAAAGAUACUCACAGUUGAUUUCCUGUGAGUCGUUGAGGUCUGAGGUGUUGAUCACUGUGGUGUUGGAGGUCAGGGGGCUAGGGGUGGAUGCUGGUGGAGGGUCUGGACAAACCUUCUCUUGUUUUUCUGCUCAAGGUUACUUGAUUUACAUAGCAGAACAGGACUGUUUUUUUGUUUGUUUUUUUGAGACAGUAUCACUUAAAUGAUUGAUAUUAAUGAAUCAUAUUGUAAUGUUCACAUUCAAAAAAUCUGCUUGGAUUUGCAAAAAAUUGUUUUGAUACAAUUUAUUUUUCUUAUGUGAUAGCAGGGCUGUCAAGCUAUUAAAAAAUAGCCCUUGACCCAUGUCUGUCUGUUACUUAAGAUGACUUGUAGUAAUAAAAUCUUAAACAUUGCAUCA